CUUUGCUGGCGACCGGCGCACGGGUGAGUAACACGUAUCCAACCUGCCGAUGACUCGGGGAUAGCCUUUCGAAAGAAAGAUUAAUACCCGAUGGCAUAGUUCUUCCGCAUGGUAGAACUAUUAAAGAAUUUCGGUCAUCGAUGGGGAUGCGUUCCAUUAGGUUGUUGGCGGGGUAACGGCCCACCAAGCCUUCGAUGGAUAGGGGUUCUGAGAGGAAGGUCCCCCACAUUGGAACUGAGACACGGUCCAA
rnacentral:rRNA from 1 species